AAUUUUCCGCUCGUCAGCGGUCUUUAUCUCUUUAUUCGAAUAGAAAGAUAAAGCUAAGAGGGAAGCCGGUGUGAAUCCGGCGCUGCCCCGCAGCGGUAUGUGGAGACAAGCCCGUCACAGGCACUGGAUCGGUAGCGAUCCGGGAAGCGACGGACAAGGCGGCACCGUUACGGUGCCACAUCCACGAGCCCGAAGACCUGCCGCCGACCGGAACGAACG
rnacentral:ncRNA from 2 species